rnacentral:rRNA from 1 species
UACGUAGGGUGCAAGCGUUAAUCGGAAUUACUGGGCGUAAAGCGUGCGCAGGCGGCUUUGCAAGACAGAUGUGAAAUCCCCGGGCUCAACCUGGGAACUGCAUUUGUGACUGCAUGGCUGGAGUGCGGCAGAGGGGGAUGGAAUCCCGCGUGUAGCAGUGAAAUGCGUAGAUAUGCGGAGGAACACCGAUGGCGAAGGCAAUCCCCUGGGCCUGCACUGACGCUCAUGCACGAAAGCGUGGGGAGCAAACAGG